rnacentral:rRNA from 1 species
AUUGAACGCUGGCGGCAGGCCUAACACAUGCAAGUCGAGCGAGCGGCGGACGGGUGAGUAAGGCCUAGGAAUCUGCCUGGUAGUGGGGGAUAACGUCAGGAAACGGGCGCUAAUACCGCAUACUAUCAGAUGUGCCCAGAUGGGAUUAGCGAGUAGGUGGGGUAACGGCUCACCUAGGCGACGAUCCCGAGCUGGUCUGAGAGGAUGACCAGCCACACUGGAACUGAGCCACGGUCCAGACUCCUACGGUGGGCAGCAGUGGGGAAUAUUGCACAAUGGGCGCAAGCCUGAUGCAGCCAUGCCGCGUGUGUGAAGAAGGCCUUCGGGUUGUAAAGCACUUUCAGCGGGGAGGCGUUACCCGCAGAAGAAGCACCGACUAACUCCGUGCCAGCAGCCGCGGUAAUUC